UCGGGAAUAUUGCGCAAUGGAGGAAACUCUGACGCAGUGACGCCGCGUGCAGGAAGAAGGUUUUCGGAUUGUAAACUGCUUUAGACAGGGAAGAUACAAGACAGUACCUGUAGAAUAAGCUCCGGCUAACUACGUGCCAGCAGCCGCGGUAAUACGUAGGGAGCAAGCGUUAUCCGGAUUUAUUGGGUGUAAAGGGUGCGUAGACGGGAGAGCAAGUUGGUUGUGAAAUCCCUCGGCUUAACUGAGGAACUGCAACCAAAACUACUUUUCUUGAGUGCUGGAGAGGAAAGUGGAAUUCCUAGUGUAGCGGUGAAAUGCGUAGAUAUUAGGAGGAACACCAGUGGCGAAGGCGACUUUCUGGACAGUAACUGACGUUGAGGCACGAAAGUGUGGGGAGCAAACA
rnacentral:rRNA from 1 species